rnacentral:misc_RNA from 1 species
GAUGAAGAACGUAGCGAAAUGCGAUAAGUAAUGCGAAUUGCAGAAUUUCCGUGAGUCAUCGAAUCUUUGAACGCACAUUGCGCCCUGUGGUAUUCCGCAGGGCAUGCCUGUUCGAGCGUCAUUACACCUUCUACAAAGGUUUUGGGGAUUGCGCUGCAGCCCUUAAAGAACUUGGUGGUAACUGGAACCCACGCACAGUCAUCUCUGCGAAGGCGACCAGGUAAACACCGUAAACUCUUCUGUUUGACCUCGCAUCAGGUAGGGAUACCCGCUGAACUUAAGCAUAUCAAUAAGCGGAGGA